UUCAGGUGAUACCUUGGGCAAUGAGA
rnacentral:piRNA from 1 species